UCUGUGACAGUGGAUGGGGGACAUAAUCAGUCUGUGUUGCAACUCCAAGACCAAGUCAGUAGCACUGCAGGUAUCUGGUGGUCAGAUACUUAAGUACCUUUGUGAAUCACCCUCUCUGGCUGUUGAACCAUGGAAGAACCCUGGUGGAUUUCCUGUUUGAUUUCCUUAUCUGUGCACACAGACCAAAUUGGCCAUGAUUGGAGGAGAGGAAUGUGUCCUUGGUCUGACGGACAGAUGUGGCUUUUUCAUCAAUGACACUGAGCCGUGUGGAUUAAAGGCUCUUGGUGCUCCUACCAGGCAUCAGGGCUGUGUCUCUGAGGUGGGAG